rnacentral:tRNA from 1 species
UCCCUGGUGGCUCAGAUGGUAAAGCAUCUGCCUACAAUUCAGGAGAGCUGGGUUCAAUCCCUGGGCUGGGAA